UACGUAGGUGGCAAGCGUUGUCCGGAAUUAUUGGGCGUAAAGGGCGCGUAGGCGGCCUGGCAAGUGGAAGGUGAAAUCCCUCGGCUUAACCGAGGAACUGCCCUCCAAACUGCUUGGCUUGAGUCCGGGAGAGGUGAGUGGAAUUCCCAGUGUAGCGGUGAAAUGCGUAGAUAUUGGGAGGAACACCAGUGGCGAAGGCGGCUCACUGGACCGGAACUGACGCUGAGGCGCGAAAGCGUGGGGAGCAAACAGG
rnacentral:rRNA from 1 species